AACGAACGCUGGCGGCAUGCCUAACACAUGCAAGUCGAACGAGACCUUCGGGUCUAGUGGCGCACGGGUGCGUACCGCGUGGGAACCUGCCCUUAGGUUCGGAAUAACUCCCCGAAAGGGGUGCUAAUACCGGAUAAUGUCUUCGGACCAAAGAUUUAUCGCCUUUGGAUGGGCCCGCGUUGGAUUGGCUAGUUGGUAGGGUAAAAGCCUACCAAGGCGACGAUCCAUAGCUGGUCUGAGAGGAUGAUCAGCCACACUGGGACUGAGACACGGCCCAGACUCCGACGGGAGGCAGCAGUAGGGAAUAUUGGACGAUGGGCGAAAGCCUGAUCCAGCAAUGCCGCGUGAGUGAUGAAGGCCGUAGUGUUGUAAAGCUCUUUUAACCGGGAUGAUAAUGACAGUACCGGGAGAAUAAGCACCGGCUAACUCCGUG
rnacentral:rRNA from 1 species